GAUGAACGCUAGCGGGAGGCCUAAUACAUGCAAGUCGAACGGUAACAGGGUAGCAAUACUGCUGACGAGUGGCGCACGGGUGAGUAACACGUACACAAUCUGCCUUAUACUGGAGCAUAGCCUUGGGAAACUAAGAUUAACUCUCCAUAACAUAGUGAAGCGGCAUCGCUUUAUUAUUAAAUCUCCGGAGGUAUAAGAUGAGUGUGCGUCUGAUUAGCUAGUUGGUAAGGUAACGGCUUACCAAGGCAACGAUCAGUAGCUGGUCUGAGAGGAUGAUCAGCCACACGGGCACUGAGACACGGGCCCGACUCCUACGGGAGGCAGCAGUAGGGAAUAUUGGACAAUGGGCGCAAGCCUGAUCCAGCCAUCCCGCGUGAAGGAUUAAGGCCCUAUGGGUUGUAAACUUCUUUUCUCUGGGAAUAAAAAGUGGAGUUCACUCCGCCUUGAAGGUACCAGAGGAAUAAGCACCGGCUAACUCCGUGCCAGCAGCCGCGGUAAUACGGAGGGUGCAAGCGUUAUCCGGAUUCACUGGGUUUAAAGGGUGCGUAGGUGGCUUUGUAAGUCAGUGGUGAAAGCCCGGAGCUCAACUCCGGAACUGCCAUUGAUACUGCUU
rnacentral:rRNA from 1 species